GAAUAUACGCCGAUCCAGAGCAUCCCAAACAUGCUCAAUGGGUGACAUGUCCGGUGAGUAUGCUGGCCAUGCAAGAACUGGAAUGUUUUCAGCUUCCAGGAACUGUGUACAGAUCCUUUCAACACGGGGCCAUGCAUUAUCAUGUUGUAACAUGAGGUGAUGGUCGUGGAUGAAUGGCUCAACAAUAGGCCUCAGAAUCUCGUCACGGUAUCUCUGUGCAUUCAAAAUGUCAUCAAUAAAAUGCACCUGUAUUCGUUGUCCAUAACAUACGCCUGCCCAUAC